AGCUUUUCGAAUCCGUGCUGAGAUUUCAUCCGACAUCAACCCAUUUAGACUGAUCAGAUUUACAAGAUAAGUGAAGUU
rfam:Schistosoma curassoni strain Dakar, Senegal genome assembly, scaffold: SCTD_scaffold0000057